GAAAGGCGCUUCCGGCGCCGUCAAGAGAUGGGUCCGCCUCCCAUUAGCUAGUUGGUGAGAUAACAGCUCACCAAGGCGACGAUGGGUAGCCGAGCUGAGAGGUUGAUCGGCCACACUGGGACUGAGACACGGCCCAGACACCUACGGGUGGCAGCAGGCGGGAAUCUUGCACAAUGGGCGAAAGCUUGAUGCAGCCAUGCCGCGUGGAGGAUGAAGGCCUUCGGGUCGUAAACUCCUUUUCUAAGGGAAGAACACCCCGGGCAGGAAAUGGUCCGGGCUUGACGGUACCUUAGGAAUAAGCAACGGCUAACUCCGUGCCAGCAGCCGCGGUAAUACGGAGGUUGCAAGCGUUGUUCGGAAUUACUGGGCGUAAAGGGAGCGCAGGCUGUCAAGUCAGUCUGAAGUGAAAGCCCGGGGCUCAAACUCGGAAGUGCUUUGGAUACUGCUUGGCUUGAGUACGUCAGAGGAAAGCGGAAUUCCUGGUGUAGCGGUGAAAUGCGUAGAUUUCCAGGAGGACACCGGUGGCGAAAGCGGUUUCUUGGGACCGUUACUGACGCUGAGGCUCGAAAGCGUGGGGAGCGAACGGGAUUAGAUACCCCGGUAGUCCACGCCGUAAACUUUGUGCACUAAGGUGUGGGAGGCGUCGACCCCUUCCGUGCCGAAGGUAACGCAUUAAGUGCACCGCCUGGGGAGUACGGGCGCAAGGGCUGAAACCUCAAAGGAAUUGACGGUGUCCCGCACAAGCCGGUGGAGCAUGUUCUUUUAUUCGAUGCAACGCGAAGACCCUUACCCAGGGCUUGACAUCCCGCGCUACCCUUGGANACAAGGGGUUCACUUCGGGGACGCGGUGACAGGUGUUGCAUGGCUGUCGUCAGCUCGUGUCGUGAGAUGUUGGGUUAAGUCCCGCAACGAGCGCAACCCUUAUCCCUAGUUACCAGCGGUUCGGCCGGGCACUCUAGGGAGACUGCCGGUGAUAACCGGAGGAAGGUGGGGAUGACGU
rnacentral:rRNA from 1 species